GCAGUCGAGCGAGCGGAACAACAGAUUUACUUCGGUAAUGACGUUGGGAAAGCGAGCGGCGGAUGGGUGAGUAACACGUGGGGAACCUGCCCCUAAGUCUGGGAUACCAUUUGGAAACAGGUGCUAAUACCGGAUAAUAAAGCAGAUCGCAUGAUCAGCUUUUGAAAGGCGGCGUAAGCUGUCGCUAAGGGAUGGCCCCGCGGUGCAUUAGCUAGUUGGUAAGGUAACGGCUUACCAAGGCGACGAUGCAUAGCCGAGUUGAGAGACUGAUCGGCCACAUUGGGACUGAGACACGGCCCAAACUCCUACGGGAGGCAGCAGUAGGGAAUCUUCCACAAUGGACGCAAGUCUGAUGGAGCAACGCCGCGUGAGUGAAGAAGGUUUUCGGAUCGUAAAGCUCUGUUGUUGGUGAAGAAGGAUAGAGGUAGUAACUGGCCUUUAUUUGACGGUAAUCAACCAGAAAGUCACGGCUAACUACGUGCCAGCAGCCGCGGUAAUACGUAGGUGGCAAGCGUUGUCCGGAUUUAUUGGGCGUAAAGCGAGCGCAGGCGGAAAAAUAAGUCUAAUGUGAAAGCCCUCGGCUUAACCGAGGAACUGCAUCGGAAACUGUUUUUCUUGAGUGCAGAAGAGGAGAGUGGAACUCCAUGUGUAGCGGUGGAAUGCGUAGAUAUAUGGAAGAA
rnacentral:rRNA from 1 species